CCUUGGAGACAGACUCAUGUAGAUACUGAUCAGACAUAUACUUGUGGGGCUCUAGGUGCCAUGCUCCUGUUCUUGACUAACCUGAGAAUCAGAGGAAGAAGCCUCUUGGUUCUUCACAGAAGAAGACCUGAGUCAGCUGUAGAAAGCAGUAACAAUGGCAGAGUGCCAAAGAAUGCCAGAGCAUGCCAGAAAGAGAUAUUACACGCAACACAGUCAAGUAGUGGACACUCAACUCUAAGAAGAGCCCAGAUUUCUAACACAUCAGGAUAUGAAAAGUUACUCCAGGAGAAAGUACCAGGCUAUUCCAAGAAAUGGCACAUCUCCCAGAACUGAGAUGCCCAGGUCCUCCCAGACUCGUUCUCUCCAUCCCAUCCAGCAGCCUCACCAGGAUUUGGAACAGGCGGCCUCUGCAUCUCAGGGAGGGGUGAGGAUGAAGGCUCCAAAGAGGAAGAAAUGCCACGGGAUGUGUGACCACUGUGUACCACCAACCUGAUGUGGCCCAGAGCAAAACAAGCUGCAUUUCAGUGGCACAGAAAAAACUCCCGACAGCCAGAGAAAAGCAUCCCAAUGUGGCUUUGGUACAAAACAAGACAACAGGUGAUUCCCACAGAUGUGAGGGGUACUUGCAUUC